CCUGGCGGAGGGGAUAGUGUAAAGGUCCCCAUUCCAGCAUUGGAACAUUGGUUCAUUAAAGUACAGAAUAAAUUAACACACACAUUUACAUAUGUAUUACCGAUACGGUGCGAAACGCUGGGAGAAUCUCAACCAAUUAGUGAAUGUAAGAAAAGUGCAGUUCGGCUUUGCAUAUUUGCUCAAUUAUUUUUCCACGUAAGACUGAAGGAUUUCGAAUGGAUCCAAGUAGUGAAAAUGGAUGGACGUGCUCCACGUGCUUAAAAACGUUCAGCACAAAACAAAACUUAAAGCGUCACAUGGUCACGCACGAUCCUCAAGCGAAAGUGAAAUGUGAGCACAAUCAAACGACCUCGGUUGCCAUGCGGAUUUCCUGGAUGUGAAAAAACCUACCUGAACAAGAGAGAUGUCUCGAUGCACAUAAAAUCUGAACAUGCCGAAAACCCGACCCGAUUUCCGUGCACACUUUGCUGUAAAGAAUUCAAGACCAGACGAGAACUUGAGUCACACAUUUCCACCCACACGACGGAGAAAGCGUACACUUGUUCCACUUGUGGGAGGAGAUUCGCUAGCCAUACGACAAUGAAAACUCACGAGAUCAUACAUUUGGAAAAAUCUACCCGAAGGAUUUUCAUGUGUGAACUUAGCCCUCACAUUUCUUCACGUAAAGCUGACUUACAAAGGCAUGUCCAAAUUAUGCAUGAAAAUCGGAGGAAUCAUUCGUGCACAUUUUGUGACAAGAGAUUCUCGACACCAACCAAUAUGAAAAAUCACGUGGAAGCGAGACAUCCCACGAAUGCGGAGAAGAUUCAUUCAUGUGACAAAUGCGAGUACAAAAGCCACUCGAAAGGAAAUUUAGCCCAACACUCGAGGCGUCACAAUCCCGCGAGACGACGAGAAUGCUACUUCUGCCAGAAACAGUUUGUCUUCUUUUCGGAAUUGGAGAAACACAUUCAUCGUCAUACUCUAGAAUGGUGGUGAUUCAUUAAAUUUACGCCCUUUAGGUUAAAUGGAAAUAGUGUUGUAUGCAAAAUGCAUUAUGCAAAGUGACAUGUACGUAGGUGUUUUAUUAUUGAUUUUCAAAAGGUAUGUUCCGCACUGUUUCUGACCAAAGUUUUGAUGAAAUAAUAAACUUCGAAUACAUUUAGGAGGCUGUGAUUUUUUUCAUCCCUGUGGGUUAACAUAAACGCUGGCAAUAAAUCGGCAAACUUUACCUCGGCGGAAAAAAUGUCAGAUUUGCAAAUUAAA